GCCGAAGUGGUGGAAUGGCAGACGCGACGGACUCAAAAUCCGUUGAUGGCAACAUCGUGUGGGUUCAAGUCCCACCUUCGGCACCA
rnacentral:tRNA from 1 species